UACGUAGGGGGCAAGCGUUGUCCGGAUUUAUUGGGCGUAAAGAGCGUGUAGGCGGCCAGGUAGGUCUGCUGUGAAACUCGAGGCUUAACCUCGAGCUGUCGGCGGAAACCAUCUGGCUAGAGUCCGGAAGAGGAGAAUGGAAUUCCCGGUGUAGCGGUGAAAUGCGUAGAUAUGCGGAGGAACACCGAUGGCGAAGGCAAUCCCUGGAC
rnacentral:rRNA from 1 species